AUAGUUUGUUUUAAUGGUUAGUCUUAUUUUAACAGUAGGACUAAUUAAUAAAUAAGGUCGUAUUUUAGUCCCGUUCGCGGAGAAGUAUAAAACUAGGGCUCGAGCAACCCAUUUUUAGAUCUAAUUUUGGACCUAGCCCAUAAUUCCCAAGCCCAUAAUUCCUAGGCUCAUACCCCUAACCUAAUCCCUACCCCUAUAUAUAGUAUCUAACACCUAAAAUAAAAGACACCUAAAAACCUUCACAUCUGCCGUUUGAGGAACCAGCCAUUCUUCUUCAUUUUUUCAUAACCUAGAACACACCUUAAGACCAAAUACAAAUUAAAGGAAGCAAAAUUUUUUUUUUCCCUUAUGCUUGAGAUUUAGAAAUAAAAAUACAAAAAAUAUAUUACUAUUUCUUCCUUUUGAUUUCAAAUUGGGUUUCAAAACAAUGAAAUUUAAAUGAAUAGAGGGAGCUAAGAGCAAAGAACGGACAUAGAGAAUUCGGAGGACAGAGCAACGGAGCGAUAGGGGGCGGCAAUGAUUUUCAGUCCAAAAACAGGUCCAAAAUCAGAGUUACAAAACCCCUAGCGUCGCCUCUUCUCUGAUUUCCACUAAAAACACCACCAAUACAAUACCAAGCGCAAAACCAAUCGAACCUGACCAUCCUCCAAACUCUAGCACCACCAAACACCAUAGCUGAUGAGCUCUAAUCGAUUUCAUUCUCUCGAAAACUCCGUUUCAUACUGAGUCGAGGUUGCCGACGAGUUCACGGUUCAAGCUAGUCCCUGUUUUCAUUUCCCAGUAGCAUCUAGCUCACCAAAGUUUGCAGUAAUUGAAUUUCGCUAUUUAAAAAGGCAAGCAGAUCUGGGUACCUCCUACCUGUCCGACACCAGGGAGGCGAGCUCAGUUCGAAGACUUCAAGGUAUACAUGUCGGCGUCCGCAGGCCUUGGAGUCCCCUUCUUUCAUGUUCUCUUUUUUUAUUUCCUUUUUACCUUAUAGACAGUGAUGCAUAGGAGCGUUCCACACUGUAUCUAGAGCUUGUGACUUGUAUUUCACCGAGUUUUGGGAUUUGUACAUAUUGAGUUGCAGUCUUCAUUUAUAUAGAUGUUGAUGUUUGAUAUUUAA